rnacentral:rRNA from 1 species
ACGAACGCUGGCGGCAUGCCUAACACAUGCCAGUCGAACGAGACCUUCGGGUCUAGUGGCGCACGGGUGCGUAACGCGUGGGAACCUGCCCUUAGGUUCGGAAUAACUCCCCGCAAGGGGUGCUAAUACCGGAUAAUGUCUUCGGACCAAAGAUUUAUCGCCUUUGGAUGGGCCCGCGUUGGAUUAGCUAGUUGGUAGGGUAAAAGCCUACCAAGGCGACGAUCCAUAGCUGGUCUGAGAGGAUGAUCAGCCACACUGGGACUGAGACACGGUCCAGACUCCUACGGGAGGCAGCAGUGGGGAAUAUUGGACAAUGGGCGAAAGCCUGAUCCAGCAAUGCCGCGUGAGUGAUGAAGGCCUUAGGGUUGUAAAGCUCUUUUACCCGGGAUGAUAAUGACAGUACCGGGAGAAUAAGCUCCGGCUAACUCCGUG